GAUGAACGCUGGCGGCGUGCCUAAUACAUGCAAGUCGAGCGAACGGACGAGAAGCUUGCUUCUCUGCUGUUAGCGGCGGACGGGUGAGUAACACGUGGAUAACCUACUUAUAAGACUGGGGUAACUUCGGGAAACCGGAGCUACUACCAGAUAAUAUUUUGAACCGCAUGGUUCAAAAGUUAAAGACGGUCUUGCUGUCACUUAUAGAUGGAUCCGCGCUGCAUUAGCUAGUUGGUAAGGUAACGGCUUACCAAGGCAACGAUGCAUAGCCGACCUGAGAGGGUGAAUCGGCACCCUGGAACUGAGGCACGGGCCAGACCCCUAAGGGAGGCAGCAGUAGGGAAUCUUCCGCAAAGGGGGAAAGGCUGACGGAGCAACGCCGCGUGAGUGAUGGAGGUCUUCGGAUCGUAAAACUCUGUUAUUAGGGAAGAACAUAUGUGUAAGUAACUGUGCACAGCUUGACGGUAACUAAUCAGAAAGCCACGGCUAACUACGUG
rnacentral:rRNA from 1 species